GCUGGGAGUGGUGGCUCACGCCUGUAAUCCUAGCACUUGGGAGGCCGAGGCGGGUGAAUCACCUGAGGUCAGGAGUUUGAGACCAGCCUGGCCAACAUGGUGAAACCCCGUCUCUG
rnacentral:SRP_RNA from 1 species